rnacentral:tRNA from 1 species
GUUUUAAUAGUUUAAAUAAAACGUUGGUCUUGUAAAUCAAUAAUGAGAUUAUUCUCUUAAAACU